AACAUAGGUAAUGAAUUUUUUAUUUAAAAUUGUAUUCAAUGACUUUACAUCUCACAAUAAUCCGCAUUGCACUCAGUGAAAGUAACUGAACUUUAAGGUAAAAAUGCCCUUAAGCAGUCGCACUAUGAAAAUAUUGGACGCUGCAUUAUGCAGUAAUGAGGAGCACAUUCUAUUUACCGAAAGUGAAUUUGAUAUAAUGCCAGUCGACAUCAUUGAUCAUGAAGUCCUAGAAACUUCUAUGAAUAUAAGUCAUAACUAGAGAUGGGAUUUUAGGCCCAUUGGCCUAUAUAGUGCCGGUGAAAUUAAAAUACAAAUUUUAACGUAUAACUUAUUAUAAAGGGCACUAUAUUUUGCCUAAAGUGCCUUUUUUCGCAAAUUGAUACCUAUUUUAGAAUUUGUAAAGGGAAUGUGCCUAUUUCUGAGGCAUGUUGACCUAUUUUCUCUGUUUUUUUUUUUUUGAGGGCAUUAACUGCUAUGGUCAUAUUACCCCAAUUAGGGCGCCCCCAAAUCUCUCACUACACUUUAGAUCUGUCUGUAUAUACCUAUUUCUCUUAGAAAACUUAGGGUACUUUUUGCAUUUAUCGUUGCACAGAAGUUUUCGACAUAUUCUCGAUUUAAACUAUGCAGCGCCCUUUCGUUGUUAUACAUGGGGCAUUCCUGAAUUAUGUGCCGAAUGGUUACAGUAGUCCCACAUCGUUCGCACUGUCGGGCAAUCUCACCCUUAAGAAUAUGUUGGUGCGUUAUCUGCGUAUGCCCUAUUCGCAGUCGGUGCAUUUUUACAUUUUCUUCCCUAGUGGCCUGGUCUAACACAUAGAGUUUCCGUACAUCUGGUUUUAUUCGGGUCAGGUAUUCUCCUAAGUCCAACGGAUGUAUAAGGUUAACAUCAAUGUGAUUACUUAACGCAGCCUGGCAUGCAGCAUGGUCUGCUUGAUCGUUUCCAGAACUUGAGAAUGGACUGGCAUCUUUUCGUCAUCGCACCAACAGGAUAUAUUUCAGAGAUCCCAUUCACUGCUUCCAUACAAUCUGUGACGAUGAUAACAUUUUGUCUAUCGCCGAUGGAGCAAUAUAACAACGCCUGCCACAGCGCAUAUUGUUCGGCAAAGCGAAUUGAGGACCACGAACAUAAACUCCAUUCAUAGGACUCUUCUCCAAUCACCAUCGCACUUCCAACACCUCUCUCCGUUCUAGACCCGUCAGUAUAGAUGAUUUCAUACGAAGGAUAUUCAUUACAUAUAUCUUGGAAUUUCUGUAUGAGUCAUCCACGGUGCAAACUCUUGUGUAGUGUUUUCCAGAAUUUCCGGAAGAGCGAUACCUUGCAAUUGAAUAUCCUCAUAAAACCUCACACUUGCUGUUGUUGUUGGAAUCUAUGAAUUGCACAAUUUCGAAACACCUUGUAUACUUUAGUCAAAUCGGCAACACAGGUAUAAAUCUUUAC